AUAUCCAUCAACCCCUCAUCACACCAAUCUCUACCACCACUAAACCCAAGACUCACCAAAGCCUACAUAGCACUCCAAGCAUGGAAACAAACAUUCACCUCAGACCCAAAAAACACCACCUUAAACUGGUAUGGCCCAAAUGUAUGCAACUACACAGGUAUCUUUUGUGCACCGUCACUAGAUGAUCCUUACAUCAAUACCGUUGCUGGUAUAGACAUAAACCAUGCAAACAUAGCAGGUUCAUUACCAGAAGAACUUGGUCUUUUAACAGACAUAGCUCUUUUCCACAUAAACUCAAACCGUUUCUAUGGUUCACUCCCCAAUAGUUUCAACCACCUUCACCUUCUCCAUGAGCUAGACAUCAGUAACAACCAAUUCUCAGGAACAUUCCCGNCACCGCCUCCACCUCCACCUCCACCACCGCCGCCUCCACCUCCACCUCCACCUCCUCCUCCGCCACCACCACCACCUCCACCUCCUCCUCCGCCACCACCACCGCCGCCGCCUCCACCACCACCACCAUCACCAUCACCGCCUCCACCUCCACCACCUCCUCCGCCACCAUCUCCUUGUCCGCCACCACCUUCACCACCUCCUCCUCCGGCAACUUACUACCAUUAUCUCUGAUGAGACAAGAGCUUGGAAUUUUUUAUUCUUCUUUUCUUCCAAAUUGGUAUACGUAAGAGAAUUAGAGGUAGUGUUUAAUUGGUCAUAUAUGUAAAAAUAAAUUAUAAGAAUUUAGCUAUUUCCAUUUUAACCGUUUGGAUUGAAGGUUGGUCAGGCAACUUUGUUUUGAAUUUGAGAACAAAUAUUAUGGUUGUUAAUUCUUGAGUGUGUCAUUGCACACAUAGUUAUAUAUACAUAAACAUAUACUCAAUUACUCAUAGUUGAAUUCAAUAUAACUCAGCUUGUGAAUGUGCAGAAUCGGGUUUUCGCCAUUGUCUCUAAAAACUCCAAGUCUAAACCAAGUUUUAGGUGAAAUUGACAAAAUUGUUGCUUCAUAAACAAAAUCGUCACUUGUCGGGUCAAUGACGGUGAUUCAUUUUUUUUGUUGUAUCAUGAAUGAAUGUCGGGUUUGUUAAGUCGUUAUCAUUGAUAAUUACCAAAAUAAUUAUUUUUAUAGCUAAGUUUACCAAUUCAAAUGCCACAUUUUGAAUUGAAACUCGUCAAAUAUUUUAUAAAAUAAUUCAGCAAGGCUAACUGCUAAAUAUAUAAUACCAACACCAACUUACUUUAACUUUUUUCUCACUUACGUUAAACUGAAGAUAUUUGAUAGAAAUGUAAAAACAUCUUAUUUGAUGUUUUCUUGAAGCUGCACAAAAAUAAAUAAAGGAAGACAAAACUGAUUUCCUAAAAUAUAAUUUUGAAUUACUACUUUGAAUUAUACAUAAAGGAAAACAAAACUGUAAAAACAUCUUUGAAUUACUUAUGACUUAUACAAUUUUGUUAUACCAGUGUCAUAAUUUUAUUUUCAUAGGACCCUAUAUCAAAAUUCGAGUAAAAUUACAGAAUUUGAAUACUAAAUAAAGCGGGCAGAGGUGGUGGCGUUUGCUUGGAAGGCACUUCUUAAUCGGAUAGCAACAAAAUAUAACCUUGUGUUAAGGAAUGUCCUUCCAAUGGAGUCUUCAAAUUUGUAAAAAAAUUAUUAUGAUUUUUAUAAACAAUUAAAUGAUGUUUUUUCUUAUGAAAUGUUGUUCUAUAAAAUAUAAAUAUUGACAAAUAGCUAUUUACUACAUAAAAAAUGAUCGUUCAUUUAUAAAAUUAAGAAGCAGGAGUACCGGUACACCUCAUUUUGCGAGUGUACCGUAGAAGUUCCCAUUUUAAAAUUAUUAUUUUUUAAGUAGCGAGGGCCAGACCCACAUCAUGUCAAACGUGGGUCCGUCCCUGCUCUCCAAUCACAUGAGAGUUCAGAGAGAAGAUAAUUAAUGGUGUAAAUUAUGUCACUGCAGAGGAUUGGAGAGAUUUCCACCGAAGGAAAUCCACAUGCACGAAAUCCAUGAAGGAUACCACUUAAAAAUGUGAAUAUUUAUUCGUUAGUAUAAAUUACCUACUAUUCUUUUAUAGGUAACCUAGAUGUCACACCAUUUAAACGUCUAACCAAACCAAUUACAUUAUUAUUUUAUAAGAGUAACGUCAAUUUGCAGCACAACAAACACUAACUUCCAAUAUUUCUCCAACAUACACACAUUUAUAUAAAUUCACAUUCCCAUAACACAAAAUCAAACCCAUCCAUUAUCGGUAAUGGAAUCCUCUUAUAGUCCAAAACUCUUAAUUUCCUUCAUUGUCAUUCUCAUAUCCAUCAACCCCUCAUCACACCAAUCUCUACCACCACUAAAUCCAAGACUCACCAAAGCCUACAUAGCACUCCAAGCAUGGAAACAAACAUUCACCUCAGACCCAAAAAACACCACUUUAAACUGGUAUGGCCCAAAUGUAUGCAACUACACAGGUAUCAUUUGUGCACCGUCACUAGAUGAUCCUUACAUCAAUACCGUUGCUGGUAUAGACAUAAACCAUGCAAACAUAGCAGGUUCAUUACCAGAAGAACUUGGUCUUUUAACAGACAUAGCUCUUUUCCACAUAAACUCAAACCGUUUCUAUGGUUCACUCCCCAAUAGUUUCAACCACCUUCAC
rnacentral:lncRNA from 1 species